rnacentral:rRNA from 1 species
CCUACGGGGUGCAGCAGUGGGGAAUAUUGCGCAAUGGGUGAAAGCCUGACGCAGCGACGCCGCGUGAGGGAUGAAGGUCUUCGGAUCGGAAACCUCUGUCAGCAGGGAAGAACGGUCACUGUGCUAAUCAGCAGUGAAUUGACGGUACCUGCAAAGGAAGCACCGGCUAACUCCGUGCCAGAAGCCGAGGUAAUACGGAGGGUGCGAGCGUUGAGCGGAAUUACUGGGCGUAAAGCGUUCGUAGGCGGUAUGUCAAGUCAAGGGUGAAAUCCCCGCGCUCAACGUGGGGACUGCCUCUGAAACUGGCGAACUAGAGUGUGUAAGAGGAUAGUGGAAUUCCAGGUGUAGGAGUGAAAUCCGUAGAUAUCUGGAGGAACAUCAGUGGCGAAGGCGACUAUCUGGCACAUAACUGACGCUGAGGAGCGAAAGCGUGGGUAGCAAACAGGAUUAGAUACCCCAGUAGUC